CAGCAGCCGCGGGAAUACGAAGGGGGCUAGCGUUGCUCGGAAUGACUGGGCGUAAAGGGCGCGUAGGCGGCGGCCAAAGUCAGGCGUGAAAUUCCCGGGCUCAACCUGGGGGCUGCGUUUGAUACUUGGUUGCUUGAGUGGGGAAGAGGGUCGAGGAAUUCCCAGUGUAGAGGUGAAAUUCGUAGAUAUUGGGAAGAACACCGGUGGCGAAGGCGGCAACCUGGUCCUUGACUGACGCUGAGGCGCGAAAGCGUGGGGAGCAAACAGGAUUAGAUACCCCAGUAGUCCCUGUCUCUUAUAC
rnacentral:rRNA from 1 species